ensembl:lncRNA
CUCACCCUGCCCCCCAGUGGAGGCCAGGGAGCAGGGGCACCUGCUUCUCCGCCAGUCCUGGGUGAGGAAACCCCGGGGGCCUCCUCUGACCUUGCGCUUCGCUCCUAAAGGUCACUGCACGGUGCUCUAGGGGGUCAGGUUCCCGCAGUCGGGGACCGGGGGAAGGCAGUAAUCAAUCUGGGCCCCGCCAGGCCAGGGGCGCCGAUCCAGAGCAGCCCUCCUGUGCCCGCUGCCCGGCAGGGUUAUUUAUAACCGCGGGUCGCCUUACCUCCUGACCUUCAGCCGGAGCCCAGCGAUCUGCAGGCAUUAGCAUCUCCUCGCCGCCCACUGCGAACAAACAGUCCUCUGUGUGCACCCUGGGCAGGCCUCGCUGCAGCCCUGCAGGAAGCAGGAUGCUGACCCGGAGUCGGCGCCCCCUCGCUCCCUAGGGUGGACCCAGCCACGUAUGAGGAAACCGAGGCGCAGAGAGGCAAAGGGAUGUGUCGAAAGCCACACAGCUGGAGCAAGUGGUGGAACUGGCCUGGGAACAUGGGUCGAUGCAUGGAAGGGACCAGAAGUUCCUGGAACACGAGCCCAUCGCCGGGGUGCCCAGUGCCAGCUGUUGCCAUCUGCUUGUGGCAAAACGAGAAAAAUAGGACAAUACAGUGAAGUUUUCCUAAAGCUAGACCUACUCGAUCUGAAGUACGGCCCUUUCCCUGGAGCUGUGUAUUUUCAGGGUCUGUGCAUGUGUGUGUUUAAAAAGGACCUUUUCUUUGACAUUUUCUUUAAUGUCCUUAACUGAGCAAAAUAAAAGACUAGUGACCAUGUCAGAUCCUAAAUCGGCUUUUUGGAAAUGUUAGUGACUAAGGAAUCCGAAUGCCUGGGAAUCACGGAGCUGGCCCUGAUUCGGCGAGCCCUGGCACGGAGGACUUGUUUUUGAAUUCAGGGAUGAUCUCUGAACAGCUGGAAAACCCCUGGGGGAGGAGAGGUUGGGGUUCCUGCCUGGACUCAGCCCCUCAGCCCUGGAUCCCCAGGAAACCUGAGCAGAGGGAACAUUAGAGUCACUGCACAGGGAAUUCUGAGAAAGGCCUCGGGCUGAUUCUCCGUGCUGCACCCCCUCAGCCUCUUCUCUGACCCCCAGCCAGAGGGAAUGUACCCUCCAACCUCAGCCCUGCCUCCCCCAGCCCCCCAAGGCUGGAUCCAAAAUAGCCCAGGCCCGGGAGGAGACGUCAUGGGUCAGACUGGCUGCCUGCCCUCAGAGAGGGCAUGUCGGUAAUGCCCAAGGCCAAAUAUAGAGGGACACCAGACACCGCUGGGCCACCCAGGGCCUGGGGAGCCCGGCCGGCGUCGCAGGGCCUCCCCCACCCUCAUCCCUUCCCAGCCCUGCACCCCCAACCCGGGCUCCGGAGGCCAGCGCCUCCUGGCCAGGCCCACCCAGCCAGGACAUGUCCCAGCAAGCCCAGAGCCGAGCUGGAGGCUGGCCCGACGGGGUGCUGGGCCUGGGCUGGGCCUGGGCUGGGCCUGGGCGUGGGGACACCCCUCCAUCUGGGGGUCUCAAAGCACUUUUAUAAGCGUCACUUCCCACAGGCUGCUGCCGAGAUCAGGAGGCCAAGAGGACCCGGUGUCUCCGGGGGGCCGGCUCCUGCCUCUGUUCCUCCCAGCUCGGGAAGGAGACCAGGCCGUAAACCUGCGGCGUGGGAGGCGUGGGAGGCGGGGGGCGGGCAGGCGGCCAGGUCUAACCCGAGUGAACUCCCGGUGGAAUCGAACUGCAAAUAAUGAGUCCUGAUUGCCGAGGUGGCCUCCACCCGCCACUCCCGGGAAUUAAAAGUCAAAGGGCAGAGCUGCUGACGCAAAUGUCAAGGGAGACACGCGGUGUGGAACAGCUGGGAUCCUGCUCCCCGGCCCGCCGCCCAAGGUCGCCGCCCCCAGCGCCCUGGAUCCGGCGUCCCCCAGGCUGGGCCCCGAGAGGCCCCCGUUCCCUAGGCGCAGCAGGGAAGGGGGCUCGGCUCCCUCUCCCUCCUCCUGGUUCUGAGGUCAACAGAACUCGAUUGGAGGUUCAUCAGAAAUCCC